UGCCGUGCGGUGGCACGCAAUUAAGGCGCGCAGGUACCGCGUAAACAAUGGAAGUCCGUUCGCGUGCCAGUGUUCAAAAUAAACCGAAUUACCCGCAAACCGCCGUUUUUACAAAGAAAACACGAUAUUGAGAACACAUUUAUAAAAUACGUUGUUUCUAUGUUUCAUAUUUGAGGAAGUACGGCAUCAUACAGACACGUGAAAAGCCUUGAUGAAGGCGUUCAGCUGGAUUUAAACUCACUAAAACCACAACCAGCUGGUAAAAUAAAAGCAGUUUACUGUCCAGUGAAGCAGACUUUAUUAUAGAAAUGAGUAAACUAGAAGACGAUGGAUGUGCCAGAAAACGAAAGACAGAAGCUGGAUAUAAAUCAGAGGACUGUAUGAAUCCGGAUUCACCUGUCAUCGCUGCUUUCAAAGUAUUCCAGCAAGAGCUCGACACCAAGCAUGAUAAACACGAGCGUCUGGUGAAGAUCAGUCGAGAUGUCACCAUUGAGAGCAAACGGACCAUAUUCCUCCUGCACAGAGUCA